rnacentral:RNase_P_RNA from 1 species
GAGGAAAGUCCGGUCUCUAUUUAGGUAAUAUAGCUAUAUAAGAAAUAGUGUAGGUAACUGCGAGGAUAGUGCCACAGAAAAAAACCGCUUACUGUUAAUUAGUAGGUAAGGGUGCAAAGGUGUGGUAAAAGCACACCAGUAAUAUAAUUGAAGUAUUAGCUAGGUAAACCCCAUUUAUAGAGUAAGGUAAUUAUUUUAUUUAUAAUCUUAUCUAUGAUAAUAAGUAAUUUAUACAUAUUUAAUUAAUUAAUACCGCAAAAAGUUUCUUAAUCUAAUUAAUAAACUUUAGAUCAAUAACUACCCUUUGUUGUAUUAUAUUUUUAUUAUACAAAUAAAGAACAGAAUCCGGCUUAU